UGGAACCAAUGAUGAUGAUUUGUCAGUCACACCUAUUGUGGAUAAUCUAGAUAUCAAGAUGGUCAAUGGGUGGAGACCAAAAGAAGAAGAAUUUGAGAGAUUGUCGCCUCGAGAGGUGAAAAUAGAACCAUCCCAUGAGCAAGCACCCAAGCUCGAAUUGAAACCCUUACCAAAGGAACUUAAGUAUGCUUUUCUUGGACCCGAAGAUACUUUU
rnacentral:lncRNA from 1 species